ensembl:snRNA U2 U2 spliceosomal RNA
AUCUCUUCUGGUCUUUUGGCUAAGAUCAAGUGUAGUUAGUAUCUGUUCUCAUCAGUUUAAAAAUAUUAUUCCCAAAGCUGAACAUUAAAAUGGCAACAUCUGAGAUCUUUAAGCAUAGACUAAACUGUAAUUUCUUAAUGGAAGCCUCCCUGAAAUGCAAUUACUGGGGAAGGAUACUUGUUAUUAUUGAACAUCUGGCAAUAUUAUU